UGCAGUCGAGCGAAAGAUAAGGAGCUUGCUCCUUUGACGUUAGCGGCGGACGGGUGAGUAACACGUGGGUAACCUACCUAUAAGACUGGAAUAACUCCGGGAAACCGGGGCUAAUGCCGGAUAACAUUUAAAACCGCAUGGUUCUAAAGUGAAAGAUGGUUUUGCUAUCACUUAUAGAUGGACCCGCGCCGUAUUAGCUAGUUGGUAAGGUAACGGCUUACCAAGGCAACGAUACGUAGCCGACCUGAGAGGGUGAUCGGCCACACUGGAACUGAGACACGGUCCAGACUCCUACGGGAGGCAGCAGUAGGGAAUCUUCCGCAAUGGGCGAAAGCCUGACGGAGCAACGCCGCGUGAGUGAUGAAGGUCUUCGGAUCGUAAAACUCUGUUAUUACGGAAGAACAAAUGUGUAAGUAACUGUGCACGUCUUGACGGUACCUAAUCACAAAGCCACGGCUAACUACGUGCCAGCAGCCGCGGUAAUACGUAUGUGGCAAGCGUUAUCCGGAAUUAUUGGGCGUAAAGCGCGCGUAGGCAGUUUCUUAAGUCUGAUGUGAAAGCCCACGGCUCAACCGUGGAGGGUCAUUGGAAACUGGGAGACUUGAGUGCAGAAGAGGAAAGUGGAAUUCCAUGUGUAGCGGUGAAAUGCGCAGAGAUAUGGAGGAAGCACCAGUGUCGAACGCGACUUUCUGAUCUGUAUCUGACGACUGAUGUGCG
rnacentral:rRNA from 1 species